ensembl:lncRNA
AUUGAAGAGUUGAUCCCCACUGGGGAAGGAUCCCUUUUUGGGAAUUGCUCCUUGGUGAAGCUUUCCCCUUUGAACCUCGAAUCUUCUGAUACAGCUGGGAACCUAGCCUGGAUUUUUCUACCCUAAGGAAGACACAAAACCUCCUGAACCUCCAACCUUGGAGCCUUCCCACUGCCCCAGCCCGGCUCACAACGCUGCUGCUGUAUGCCCAUGAGGUUUGGACAUCUUGGCAGUUGUGAUGGGAAACGUGCCAAGGCCCACGAGCACGGCUUGAAUACUUAUUUCCAAACUUCUGGCAGGCACCUUUCCUUUGAAACACCAACUCUGGCGAGCGUUUGGAGGAAAAGUGCUCGUGCUAAGACCCAAAAAGACAUCUCCCACCUCCCCCAGACCUGCAGGGAAACGCUGGACGUGAUGGGAGUGUUUAUGCAGGGGGACAAGCGCGUCUUUGAGGAGUUAUGGGCUCCUCCGCUUUGGCCAGCCCAGAUUGUCCCUGUAAAACCCAUCUUCUUCCCACCCACCCACACAGAGAUCAGGAGCAUCCUUUGGGCAGCCCCGUGGUGCACCUACCGCUGGUUGCUGCCCCUCUGUCCCCACGAUGGGCUCAGAGCUCCUACCAGAACACAGAGGCUCAUCCCCGGUGGCCCUGACACGUCUGUGUGUCUGCCCAGACCGUCCCAACCCCAGUGCCAAGGACUCCACACGCUGCUGUAAAUCCUAUUUGGGUGAGCACCCCUCCCUCCUCCCCCUCCCCAUCUCGAUGAGCGUUUUGGAAUGGGGUACGAAGCAAAGUAAAGCUCAGCGGAGGGUAAAUUCAAUCUCUCCCUAUGACAAAGCAAGGGAAAGCACAGACCUUGUCUUGAGAAGGGCGCAGAGGAGAGAGGAGGAAGUCACCAACGCACGGGACGGAAUGAAUCCGAGCGCAUGCCAGAAUAUCUGUAAAUAAAAUAAUAAGCAGCGAAGUGAAAUAAGCUGACACGCAAAAUGUGCACGUUGAUUAAAACAGCCCUGGAGACCAUUAAAUG